UACGUAGGGUGCGAGCGUUGCUCGGAAUCACUGGGCGUAAAGGGUGCGUAGGCGGGUUUUUAAGUCAGAGGUGAAAUCCUGGAGCUCAACUCCAGAACUGCCUUUGAUACUGAAGAUCUUGAGUAUGGGAGAGGUGAGUGGAACUGCGAGUGUAGAGGUGAAAUUCGUAGAUAUUCGCAAGAACACCAGUGGCGAAGGCGGCUCACUGGCCCAUUACUGACGCUGAGGCACGAAAGCGUGGGGAGCAAACAGG
rnacentral:rRNA from 1 species